rnacentral:Y_RNA from 1 species
UGUUGGUCCAAGUCAGUGGUGUUUACACCUAAUCGAUCACAACUGGUUACAGAUUGCUUUGUUCCCUCUUCUCUUCCACUGCUUCACGCGACUAGCCCCGA